rnacentral:rRNA from 1 species
UACGUAGGGCGCAAGCGUUGUCCGGAAUUAUUGGGCGUAAAGAGCUCGUAGGCGGCCUGUUGCGUCCGCUGUGAAAUCCCGGGGCUCAACCCCGGGCGUGCAGUGGAUACGGGCUGGCUGGAGGCAGGCAGGGGAGAACGGAAUUCCUGGUGUAGCGGUGAAAUGCGCAGAUAUCGGGAGGAACACCAGUGGCGAAGGCGAUCACCUGGGGUUGUUCUGACGCUGAGGAGCGAAAGCUAGGGGAGCAAACGGG